rnacentral:rRNA from 1 species
UUGGAGGGCAAGUCUGGUGCCAGCAGCCGCGGUAAUUCCAGCUCCAAUAGCGUAUAUUAAAGUUGUUGCAGUUAAAAAGCUCGUAGUUGAAUUUUGGGUUUGGCCGAUUGGUCCGUUCUUGUAACGAGUACUGGUUGGUCGGGCCUCAUUGCCUGGGGAGGCGUAAUGCCCUUUAUUGGGUGUUGCGAGUAGCCAGGACUUUUACCUUGAAAAAAUUAGAGUGUUUAAAGCAGGCAUAUGCCGGAAUACAUUAGCAUGGAAUAAUAGAAUAGGACGAUGAUUCUAUUUUGUUGGUUUCUAGGACCAUCGUAAUGAUUAAUAGGGAUAGUUGGG